UCAGGGGCAGAGCUUGCCCUGGGCACCGUUUCCUGCCCCUGCGCCACUGCGCUACUGCACCACUGCGCUCACACACACAGCUUGUAUUGCCAGCAACUCUAUCCUUCCUUGGAAGCUGUUUACAAGCUCCUAGACUCCUCGAAUCACCCUUCUUUCAGAAUGAAAGCCAACCAAAAAACAGAACCGAGAAUAAAGCAAAGCACCGAUUUUAUUUAGCUGAAAGGCAACUCUGAAAUGCCCCUGCCCCAAAAGACAUCAGAUCUGCAGCAAGGGAAACUGGGAAAGAGAACGGGGAUUAGAUAUUGGGGGUGAAGGGGUCCGUUUUUGGAGUGAUUUUUAAAAUGCAAAUAAGUAUAAGCAUUUAAUCUAUAGCUAAGCUAAUUUACUGGGAGUCCCCACUUUAGGAACUAUGAGGGCUUGCAAGGAUUUAAUGCAGACAAACGUUUUUAAAAGGAGGGAGCGGUGAAGGGAUUUGCCCGCUGAGUUUGGAAAGCAGUAGGGAGCAGCUGCUUGUCUUUAGCAAAGAACAACCUUUUAUAAACCAAGUCCAGGUGUGUUUCCCGCAAGCACUGGGAGGAUAUCUGACUAGCAAAGCAGCUACUCUGGAGAAAGGGAGGAAAGCUCAGGCUACAGUUUAAAAAGCAAACUGAUGUUGUGCACGCCCUCUGCGCUGCCCCGGCAGCAGGUCUCUCUCUCUCUGUCCCACGCUUGCUCUCCCAAUGGCCCCCGCCCGCCCUCUUUCAUAGAUGAUCUUUGCCGAUUAUAAUACAUUUGAGCCUUUGGGGGAGAGGGAGGAGGAAAAUGCUAUCCAGGACUGGGACAGAAGGGAGCUGCAAGGCAAAGCAGCAGGGUAGGGCACGUGGCGCGACACACUGACUGAGACAUCAUGAUUCGAGCAGUUUACUACUUGCUGGAGAGUCAGUCAGUGUGUAAUGCAGCUGGGACGAAUGGCCCUUGGGCGGCGGCAGCAGCACAGCAGCACUCAAAGAACAGGCAGCCAGCACGCCAAUUAGAGGUGGUGAGCAGCUACAAGGGACUGAGUCAGGCAGGCAGAAUGCAGACCGGCCGAGGCACUCAGAGCAGCCUGCAGCAGUGCAGUGGGAAGGUUCAGGUUGGAAGGAGAGGAGCAGCGUCGUGAGCGGGGGAAGAAGGAAGCGGAAGUGCCGCUUGCCCAGGGGGCCUUGUCCACCCUCUGCAUGGGGCAUGCCAGCGAAUAGGUGCCCCCGCCCGCUGCAGCCAUAAACCUCUGCGCCUGCGUGAGUGGGGGGUGGGGUGGCUGGGCACAGGUGCUGCCCGGAGCCAGACUCUGGAGAGACGCCGGCGGUGAUGUGAGCAGUGGGCCCACUGGUGCACUGGGUUGAUUUUUGGGGGGUGGGGGAUUGAAAUUUUUUUUUUUUUAAUGUGGUGGUGGUGGCGGCGGCGGCCUGGCAGAGGGGCCAGGCAGGCAUUUCUGUGCCCCAAGUCAACUGGCGCCCAGGGCAUGUGCCCUGCCUGCCCCACCCCUGAUUACACCUCUGCCCUAGCCUGCCCAGUGCCCACCCAGUUAUUUCUUUGCCCAUCAUUCGUGAAUUGAAACACACAUUGUUUGAUUGACUUGUGGCGCAGUGGUGGCUACCCUGGUGGCGCAGUGGUAAAACUGCCCCCCUGUAACCAGAAGGUUACAAGUUCGAUCCUGACCAGGGGCUCAAGGUUGACUCAGCCUUCCAUCCUUCCGAGGUCGGUAAAAUGAGUACCCAGAAUGUUGGGGGGCAAUAUGCUAAAUCAUUGUAAACCACUUAGGUAGCUUCCAGCUAUAGAGUGGUAUAUAAAUGUAAGUGCUAUUGUGUGUAGGUAGGCCCAGCACAAUUCCGUUACUUUUUCAUCUUCUGUGCCUGUGAUAUUGACAACAACAGCAUCAUUGUUGUUCCAGCAAUCCUAAUCUGUGUAAUUAAAUUUUGAUAAAUUUGUAACUAACUUCCAUUCCCAGAACCACAGACAGAGAAUAACUGUAAUCCCUGUUAUUCGUGGCGAGUGCACUGAGCCAGCCUUAAAGAACUCCUCCACAGUCAGUGCACUGUGUGCGCACAGCAGUGCCACAAGCUAAGUGGCAUUAUUUUAUUUCUUGUUCUGUGGCAUCCUGCUUCUGUUGUGUCACACACACCUAACUCCCAGUCCCUCUAGCUAAACUCUGUGUGAUACACAUUACACAGCAACCUCUGAUUUAGCCAGCCACAGAAUUUGUGCCAAACAGCCUUAAGCAAGGAGGCACUCCACUCCAGUCCACAAGUCAUCACAGCAGCCCCUGUUUUUGGCCCUCUGAAUCUACCUGCCCCCUGAGACAACCCAAUCCACUCCACCACCACCCCCUUUUUACAUUCUAAAAAGAAGCCCCAAAACCAUGGCUGGGAGGGCUGGUAGAGCAGCAGAAAGAGGCAGGUUGCAAGGAAGGGGGAGGCUUUUCUUCCCUGCUGGUCGUGGCAGGGGGCGGCCAGAGGGGCUUACUCCCCGAGUCACCCCCGGCCCUGCUUCGGCGUGCAGGCUAGACUUCUCGAGUCAACCUGGCCCUAUGCCAGAGCCUGCAGCAGGGCAGAAUUUAGGGGGGAGGGCCUCCCAAUUUGCCAGGGAAGAAGAUCUUCCUGUGGCUGCUGAGGAGGUGGUGCUGGUGGAGGAGGCUGGCAGUCCAGCCAGAUCCACCUUGCCGCCCUCCCCACCGGUCCCUGUUGGGGGGUGGGGGCCCAGGGUUGCAUCUGAGGAGGCUCAGGAGGAGGGAAGCCCACUUGUCCCUGGGCCUUCCCAGGCCAGCUCUGAGGUCAGUGGUGGUGGUGGCAUGCCCGAGAAGGAACCAGCAAAGCUGCCACCUCCCAAGCGACCUCGUGUCGCAGGAGAGUCCAGCAGUGUGGACUGAGAUCACUUUGAGCUUCGCCCUGGUGAUCCCACCCAUGCUGAGUGCACCGACUGCAAGGCGCUGGUCAGCAGAGGCAAGGACCCUAAGCACUUCACUACCUUGGGUCUGUUGUUGCACCUGCGCCAGCGGCACCCAGGUGGGGAGACCUCUGCUGGCAGUGGCAGUAGGCACAGUGCCUCGACUAACAGUAGUGGCAGCAAGCGGCCAGUGGCUCCUGCUCCUAGGCAGGAAAAACUGACCGAUCGUCAUCAGUGGAUGCAAUCUCUGGGAAAGCGGUCUGAUCACCCAAAAGCACAUCUCGUGGCUCGGGCCAUUGCUGAGAUGAACGCUUUGGAUAACCAGCCGAUUUCCAUUGUUGAGAAUGUCGGCUUCCACCAUCUGCUCCAGCUACUUUCCCCAGAUUACAAGAUCCCUUCAAGGAGCACCUUCAGCAGGAGGGUGGUCCCCUCCUUGUACUAUGCGUGCAGGGAGGCUGUGUUGGCCCGGUUGCGUGCAGCUGGGCCCAGCACCAGUGUGCAUUUCACUGCGGAUAUCUGGACUAGCCGCAGCGGGCUGCACACUGCCUUCAUGUCCCUGACAGCCCACUGGUGGGGGCAUGGGGGUGAGGGGACAUCUGGCUCUGCUGGCACUGUAUCCAGCUCCUCCCAUGCAUGCACGCCUUCUUGGGCAGUGUUGCAUGUGGAGGCGAUGGAUACAGACCACAGGUCGGGUGAGUUGGCCGCCAUCAUGGACCGCCAGGUGGGGGGUUGGCUGACUGUGGAGUCAAGCCUCUGACGAGGCUUCAUGGUGACAGACAAUGCAGCUAACAUCAGCAAGGCAGCUAGGCAGGUUUACGGUGUGAACAUGGCAUGCGUUGCGCACACCUUGAACCUGGUGGUGCAGGAUGCGCUUGGGCUCAAGGAGGCGGCGAAGUCCAAGCUGUGUGCGAAGGGUGUUAGUUAAGCUAAGGAUCCUGCGGCUCCCGUGGCCGCUCUUGUGGAGCAGUGCCGCAAGAUAGCGGGUGGAGCAUGUGGAGUACAAAGUUAACAAUCAAUGGUGAGACAUUUGGACAGGUUAGCAUUAGAAGAGACAUAUUCCAAGGGGACUCACUAUCCCCUCUGUUGUUUGUAAUUGCCAUGACUCCACUUUCACAAAUACUAAACAAAACAGGCCUCAGAUACCAAACAUCUAAAACAUCAAGUCAAAUCAACCAUCUGCUCUACAUGGAUGAUCUGAAGUUGUAUGGAAAGUCCCAGUCAGAAAUCGAAUCACUGUUAAACACUCUCCGUAUAUUCAGUAGCGAUAUAGCAAUGGAGUUUGGACUAGACAAGUGUGCUGCAUUAAUAAUGAACAGAGGGAAAAUAAGAAAAACAGAAGGAAUAGAGCUGCCCAAUGGAAGCAAGAUCAAGAACCUGGAAGACAAAGAACAUUACAAAUACUUGGGCAUUCUCCAGGCUGAUAACAUUGCACACACUGAAGUUAAAAGAAAAAUUGGAAGUGAAUACAUCAGGAGAGUUAGAAAAAUCCUCAAGUCCAAACUCAAUGGCGGGAACACCAUACAAGCCAUAAACACCUGGGCUAUACCUAUUAUCAGAUACACUGCAGGAAUAAUAGACUGGACCCAGGCAGAGCUGGAGACGCUAGAUCAUAAGACCAGGAAAAUAAUGACCAUCAAUCAUGCUCUGCACCCCCACAGUGAUGUAGAUAGGCUAUACCUCCCUCACAGCUCAGGUGGAAGAGGAAUGCUGCAAGUCCAUCAAAUGGUAGAGAAGGAGAAAAGAGGCCUUGAAGAAAAUAUCAAGGACAGUUAAGAAGAUGCACUUCAAAUGGUCAAUAACGCAAAACUAUUCAACACCAAUGAGAGAAAGCAGGCCUACAAGAAAGAACAAGUCAAGAACCGAGCAGAAAAAUGGGAAAAGAAGCCACUGUAUGGUCAAUAUUUGCACAAUAUAAGUGGAAAAUCAGACAUCACCAAGACCUGGCAAUGGCUUCAGAAUGGCAACUUGAAGAAAGAAACAGAGGGUUAAAUACUGGCUGCACAAGAACAGGCACUAAGAACAAAUGCAAUAAGAGCAAAAGUCAAAAAAUCCACAACAAACAGCAAGUGCCGCCUUUGGAAAAAAGCAGAUGAAACAGUGGACCACCUAAUCAGCUGUUGUCAAAAGAUCGCACAGACUUACUACAAACAAAGGCAUGACAAGGUAGCAGGGAUGAUACACUGGAACAUCUACAAAAAAUACAAGCUACCUGUAGCCAAAAAUUGGUGGGACCAUAAAAUUGAAAAAGUUGAAGAAAAUGAAGAUGUAAAAAUAUUAUGGGACUUCCGACUACAAACAGACAAGCAUCUGCCACACAAUACACCAGACAUAACUGUAGUCGAGAAGAAAGAAAAGCAAGUUAAAAUAAUCAACAUAGCAAUACCAGGGGAUAGCAGAAUAGAAGAAAAAGAAAUAGAAUAAAUCACCAAAUACAAAGAUCUACAAAUUGAAAUUGAAAGGCUGUGGCAGAAAAAGACCAAAAUAAUCCCAGUGGUAGUUGGCGCCCUGGGUGCAGUUCCCAAAGACCUUGAAGAGCACCUCAACACCAUAGGGGCCACAGAAAUCACCAUCAGCCAGUUACAAAAAGCAACUUUACUGGGAACAGCCUAUAUUCUGCGAUGAUAUCUAUAACAACAGCAACAACAUUGACCAUAAAAUUCAGCCAUCCCAGGGAAGGACUCAAUGUCUGGAUAAAACAAACCAGUCAAUAACACCUGUUUGACUGUGUAAAUAAAUAAUAAUAAUAGAACUUGAAGUAACCCAGUGGCAGUAGAUUCAGGACAGACUGCUUUGCACAAUGCAUCUUUACGUUGCGCGAUUCCCUUCGAGAUGUCGGGAGUGCCACUGACUUCACUUAAGAAUUACGCCAAUUAAUGGAAGAUAGGUCUGUCGAUAGACAGGUGAACUCUGGGAACCCCCGUGAAUGAAUGCAGGUAUCCCUCUGAGGGCUGGAUGCUGAGGAAAAACAGAAUAAAUAACAGGGAGAGGGGGCGAUGACUUGCCCCAGCUUGUGCCCCAUUUUAUCCUCCAAUGCAAGUCUCUAGAAAAAAGAUACUUUCCUCCUGCUCAGUUGCCUAUGUGCUGUGAGCUUUGGAGUUGCUUCUUGUGAAUGAGUGAGUUUUUUCAGAGAAUUGGAAUGGAAAGGGACAGACUGUACUUGCUGCUUAUAUGUCUGACGUACAACUGUGCUAGUGGUUGGUUGGUGGGUUGGGUAUUUUUCUACCUCCCCUUUAUGAUACUAUUUGGAAAGAAAGUCACUUCUGCUGUAUUAGAUUGACCGGCCUGGAUCUUGUGUUCUUUCUUUCUUUCUUUCUUUCUUUCUUUCUUUCUUUCUUUCUUUCUUUCUUUCUUUCUUUCAUGACGCCUAGAACUACUGAUGGAUGGGCUAAAAGCCCAAAUUCCAAAACAGCCAUCCCAAUUCCUAGAGGAAAGGAACAUAGGAAACUGCCAUACUGAGUCAGACCAUUGGUCCAUCUACCUCAGUAUUGUCUACACAGACUGACAGCGGCUUCUCCAAGGUUGCAGGCAGGAAUCUCUCUCAGCCCUAUCUUGGAGAAGCCAGGGAGGGAACUUGAAACCUUCUGCUUUCCCAGAGCGGCUCCAUCCCCUGAGGGGAAUAUCUUAACAGUGCUCACACAUCAAGUCUCCCAUUCAUAUGCAACCAGGGCAGACCAUGCUUAGCUGUGAGGACAAGUCAUGCUUGCUACCACAAGACCAGCUGUCCUUGUAGACCAGGUUUAUGUGUCUGAUGUACAACUUUGCUAGUGGUUGGUUGGUGGGUUGGGUAUUUUUCUAUCUCCCCUUAAUGAUACUAGUUGGAAAGAAAGUCACUUCUGCUGUAUUAGAUUGACUGGCCUGGAUCAUGUGACAUUCUUUCUUUCAUGACAGGCUAGAACUACUGAUGGAUGGGCUAACAGUCCAAAUUCCAAAACAGCCAUCCCAGUUCCUAGAGGAAAGGACUCUCUCUCCCUCUCGUUUUAUUGAAUGAAAUGGCUUAACUUCCCGAAAGACUUACCUGGAGUCUGUGAUGAGCUGGAUGAGGGAGAACAAACUGAGGCUGAAUCCAAGGAAGACAGAGCAUCUUUCACCAACUACAAAUGAAAAGAUUCCUAAGUUAAUGCAAACACUACACUGUGCUGCCAAUAGAGUGCAGCCCGUCAAGCUCGUCACUCCCACCCCAAUAUCUCAACUGCCUAAAAUCACAAAAAAUCUUAGUCAUCAGCUCUGAUUCCAAAAAAGGUGAUUUUGGUAUUUGCAGACCCUAAGCCUGCACAGUGACAAAGCGGGGAACAUGAUGCUCCCAACAUAGACUCGAGAGACCGCUCCAUUCCCAACAAGAGAGACACCAGAGAAGUCACACCAAGAUCACCCUCCAAUCCUGAACGUGACUCCAACCCAGCUCAAAUGGAGGAUUAUACCAUCAACCCUAGCUGGUCUUCUCAACACCGACUGAAAAGCAUGCCCUGCACGAUACCAACUAUAUAGAAGAGACCCUACGUGAUACCAACGCUCUCCGGGUCACAGGGAAUCCCCUCACCAUCUGUACUCUCCUAAAUGCUAUUCCAUAGGAUCCGGUGUAUUGCUACUGAGAACGUCGACACUGAGACUACUUUCCAUCUGAUCAUGCCUGAUCGUUCCACUUACAUCUUCGAUGACAGAUCUGUCACUGAUGAUAGAGAACGCUAUCUCCACCCUUGCUCUUGGGCUCCACAUCGAAACCAAUAUCCGGGGAGAUUGCACCAUCCAGACUCUCGGUCCUGAUCAUACUCUCCUCAGCACUGCAGGUCUUGGGCUCAGUCAAGAGAUAAGAGAAGUCAACCACCUAAGCAGCUGGACUUUGACCUCCUACCACCGGAUUCCUCGACUGAAGAAUCCGCCUCAGAGGAAGAUGCAGAAACAGCCCUGGACAUCGCAUGGGGUUCCACACCUUCAGAUCUAAUUGAAGAUCCAAAGCCUCUGCCUCCCUCGGAGUACCUGAAGCUCUUCACUGACCAAGUGGCCUAUAUGGCUACCUCUUUACAUAUCCAGGUUAACGAACCUCCUAAAUCUCCUCCUGAUCCCAUUUUUGGGCCAACUGAUGCUGGAACUUUGCACUCUUUCUUCCUACCACUGAACUCUGCUUGAAUGGACAUUGUCAACGCUUGCUGGGCAUUUUUGCCACCUACCUCUCAGAAGCUGGAAGGUUUUUUUACAAGGUUCAAGCCAGGGACAAUCAGUUCCUUCUGUGCCAUCCUACUCCUCACUCCAUUAUAAUGGACUCUGCUCAGUCCUGUUCAAAGAACAGAAUCCAUUCAGCAGCAUCUGACACAGAAGGCAGAAAAGCAGAUGCCCUUGGGCCUGUCCCCUUUCCAAACAGCUCCUCCAUAUACGUCUCGCCAUGCCACUGACUGUUCAUUCAAUGUUUGCUGCAGCAACUCCUCGCUGGCACACAUGGAUGUGUUCAUCUACAUUGGCACCUGGAACAAGAGGAAGAAGAAGAGAGAAUUUGACCUUUUGAUGGCCAGGCCCUUGUUGGAAAGGAGACAAAAUGGAAAGGAGACAAAAACUGAAAAAUAUGGCAAGACCUAUGACCUCCCAACAACCUGCCUACAAUUCCUCAAGGGGCAACAAAUCCUCUUCUUCUGCUGCUGCUGCUAUAUCAUUUUGUCCUUCCAGCUACUCUCAAUCAACUAACCGUUCCUUUCGUCCUUCUAGGACCUCCCUAUUUCAGAAAAGACAGGUCUCCUUCGUAAAAUCACAACCUUCCAAAUCUCAACCACCAGUGCAUAGCAAGUGCUCGGGACUCAAGCAGCUGCAAAUAUUAUUCUUUGAAGCACUCCACACACAAAUCGGGCUUUGUCUCCCAAAUUCUAGCUUAUCUCAAUGUAUUUCUGGGUUUUUUAAAUGCUGCUUUUAAUGAGAUUUUCUGAAAACACCAGAGCAAAUAGGGAGAGGCAUUGACGUAGAAUCAUUCACAUGAGAAGAGGGAUAUAAUCUUCUAGGAAUGCAGAUAGAGGCUUUAGAAAUCUCUCUCCCCACCCCGCCAUUGGCUAGAAGGAAAAUACGGAGGCACGCGAUGUGAACUUGCACCAAAAGAAAACCUGAGAGCAGAGGGGAGGGGCUGCUUCCCUCCUUGUCGCGAGUGUGAUUCGAAGUGUCUUCACUCAACAUUGACCCUGAAGCAUGAAGCCAGGUGCGAAUAACUCCCUGGCCUUCCAGGGUUUUCUAACGGCUUUACAUGUUUUCGUUGUUCAUGGUUUUAGACUGUUUUAGAAAUUGUUUUGUAAGGAUUGUUUUUAAAAGUGCCUAGGUAAUGAGAGCAGCAGUAGCCAUCUUGCUGCCCCUCGGGCAUCCCAAUAAUCUGCCCAUUGAGGGAACUGCCUGACCUUGCCUCAUGGAAGGACCGCCCUUACCUGUCAUCACUGCUCCAUUAGGGGUGUGGAGAGCUCACUUUACAUAGGCCUCUGGAUUAAAGGCAGCAAAGUUAGUUGUCCUGUGUGUCCAUCAGGUUAACAUGUUCCUUUUGUGAUAUAGUCUGGGAUCCUGUGUAACUUUGUGGCAAAGUCUGUGUGAGAUGUCUAUGGGUGGUUUUGUUCGAUUUGAAAACCAAUCCAGAUCCCAUACUUCACAAUAGCCUGCUGCAAUGUGUUCAUUUUUGGAAAGGCUGACAUCCUGACCCCCAGUUCAUUCUUGUGCUGAAGAGUGUGUGUGUGCUUCCUUCCUUCCUUUCCUGCUUGCACAUGUCCUGGGCUUCACUGAGUCCAUGAGUCACUCUUAGGGGGCAGAAGUCAGGGACUGGAUUGUGUCCAAGUGCCUUGUUUUAAACUAUUAAGCCAAGCUCACUGCCAUUGCUUGGAAUGCAUUGCAAUAGGAAGCUUGAGAUUCCCACUUUAGCCUUCUGGAGGGGAUGUCUGGCCAGUUUCCCAACUUAGCACCAAAUGAAGGAUGCCCAGAAGCCACAUGUGUGGUCACACAUGGGUGGUGAAGGGGAGCAGGAGAACAUUCGCCAUCCAUGGGUGCUCUUUCUGGGCCUUCCUGACUGAACGCCAUCAGGUAUAGAGAUAGAAUGCAAGUACAUAUCAUAGGAACACAGGAAUAUAGGAAGCUGCCAUAUACUGAGUCAGACCAUUGGUCUAUCUAGCUCAGUAUUGUCUACACAGACUGGCAGCAGCUUCUCAAAAUCUGCAGAGAGGAAUCUCUCUCAGCCCUGUCUCGGAGAUGCUGCCAGGGAGGGAACUUGGAAGCUAGAAGCUCUUUCCAGAGCAGCUCCAUCCCCUAAGGGAAAUAUCUUACAGUGAUCACAUAUGUGGUCUCCCAUUCAUAGGCAACUGUGGCAGACCCUGCUUAGCUAAGGGGAAAAGUCAUGCUUGCUAACACAUGUGGUCUCCCAUUCAAAUGCAACCAGGUUGGACCCUGCUUAGCUAGGGGGCCAGGUCAUGCUUGCCACCACAAUACCAGCUCUCUUUGCUAGACCAGCUCUCCUCUCUAUGCAAGAACAUCAUCCUCUAUGCAAGAACAUAGCCUGGGACUCUAGUCCGAUCUAGAAUGGGACCCAUCCAUAUGUGCUUCUAUCCAUUCUGAAAAUAAAGCCAGCCGCUCCAGAACAAAUGGAGGCAGGCCCAUAUUAGAACUGCUUUGAAUCAGAGCUUCAUAUGGUCAUAGAAUCUGCACUCGAGGCUCUGAGGAAGAGAUCUGGUCUUGUGGAAGGGAGCAUGGAUUGUUCUUUUUGCUAUGCAGGGUCCAUGCUGGUUUGCUUUUAGAUGGGUGACUACAUCCAAGAGCCAGCAUGGUGCAGUAGUUAGAGUGCUGGACUAGGACCGGGGAGAUCCGAGUUCAAAUCCCCAUUCAGCCAUAAGACCUGCUAGGUGACUCUGGGCCAGUCACUUCUCUCUCAGCCUAACCUACUUCACAGGGUUGUUGUGAGGAGAAACUCAAGUAUGUAGUACACCGCUCUGGGCUCCUUGGAGGAAGAGCGGAAUAUAAAAUGUAAAAAUAAAUAAAAUACAUGGGA